AACGAACGCUGGCGGCAUGCCUAACACAUGCAAGUCGAACGAGACCUUCGGGUCUAGUGGCGCACGGGUGCGUAACGCGUGGGAACCUGCCCUUAGGUUCGGAAUAACUCCCCGAAAGGGGUGCUAAUACCGGAUAAUGUCUUCGGACCAAAGAUUUAUCGCCUGUGGAUGGGCCCGCGUUGGAUUAGCUAGUUGGUAGGGUAAAAGCCUACCAAGGCGACGAUCCAUAGCUGGUCUGAGAGGAUGAUCAGCAACACUGGGACUGAGACACGGCCCAGACUCCUACGGGGGGCAGCAGUGGGGAAUAUUGGACAAUGGGCGAAAGCCUGAUCCAGCAAUGCCGCGUGAGUGAUGAAGGCCUUAGGGUUGUAAAGCUCUUUUACCCGGGAUGAUAAUGACAGUACCGGGAGAAUAAGCUCCGGCUAACUCCGUG
rnacentral:rRNA from 1 species